rfam:Ralstonia eutropha H16 chromosome 1
UGGAUGAAACAGGGGUGCCGUACGGAUGGGCCGUGCGGCUGAGAGAGUCCCUUCGAACCCGAUCCGGCUAGUACCGGCGUGGGAAGUUUCACAAGACCAAGU